CAGCAGCCACGGGAAUACGAACCGUGCGAACGUUAUUCGGAAUCACUGGGCUUAAAGCGCGUGUAGGCGGGCCGUCACGUCGGCUGCUGAAAUCCCCCGGCUCAACCGGGGAAGUGGCACCGAUACGAGCGGCCUUGAGGGGGGUAGGGGGGUCUGGAACUUCCGGUGGAGCGGUGAAAUGCGUUGAGAUCGGAAGGAACGCCCGUGGCGAAAGCGAGGCCCUGGACCCUUUCUGACGCUGAGACGCGAAAGCCAGGGGAGCGAACGGGAUUAGAUACCCCGGUAGUCCCUGUCUCUUAUU
rnacentral:rRNA from 1 species